rnacentral:rRNA from 1 species
UACGGAAGGCAGCAGUGGGGAAUAUUGCACAAUGGGCGAAAGCCUGAUGCAGCUAUGCCGCGUGUAUGAAGAAGGCCUUAGGGUUGUAAAGUACUUUCAUCGGGGAGGAAAAAACAAAACUAAUAAUUUUAUUUCUUGACGUUACCCGAAAAAGAAGCACCGGCUAACUCCGUGCCAGCAGCCGCGGUAAUACGGAGGGUGCUAGCGUUAAUCAGAAUUACUGGGCGUAAAGAGCACGUAGGUGGUUUUUUAAGUCAGAUGUGAAAUCCCUGGGCUUAACCUAGGAACUGCAUUUUGAAACUGAAAUACUAGAGUAUCGUAGAGGGAGGUAGAAUUCUAGGUGUAGCGGUGAAAUGCGUAGAUAUCUGGAGGAAUACCUGUGGCGAAAGCGGCCUCCUAAACGAAUACUGACACUGAGGUGCGAAAGCGUGGGGAGCAAACAGGGAUUUAGAUA